GAAAAUUGGUCUAAUACCGUAUGAGGUCAUACGAUGGCAUCAGAAUAUGACGAAAGGUUUGGCGGUGAAGGAUGGGGAUGCGUCUGAUUAGCUUGUUGGUGAGGUAACGGCUCACCAAGGCGACGAUCAGUAGGGGUUCUGAGAGGAAGGUCCCCCACAUUGGAACUGAGACACGGUCCAAACUCCUACGGGAGGCAGCAGUGAGGAAUAUUGGUCAAUGGGCGAGAGCCUGAACCAGCCAAGUAGCGUGCAGGACGACGGCCCUAUGGGUUGUAAACUGCUUUUAUAUGGGGAUAAAGUGAGUUGCGUGUAGCUUAUUGCAGGUACCAUAUGAAUAAGGACCGGCUAAUUCCGUGCCAGCAGCCGCGGUAAUACGGAAGGUCCAGGCGUUAUCCGGAUUUAUUGGGUUUAAAGGGAGCGUAGGCCGCCCCUUAAGCGUGUUGUGAAAUGCCGCGGCUCAACCGUGGCACUGCAGCGCGAACUGGGGGGCUUGAGUGCACGCAACGCAGGCGGAAUUCGUGGUGUAGCGGUGAAAUGCUUAGAUAUCACGAAGAACUCCGAUUGCGAAGGCAGCUUGCGGGAGUGCGACUGACGCUGAAGCUCGAAGGUGCGGGUAUCGAACAGGAUUAGAUACCCUGGUAGUCCGCACAGU
rnacentral:rRNA from 1 species